rnacentral:lncRNA from 1 species
AUCCCCACCCCCGCCCCUGCGCCCUGGCCGCGCUCUCUCUGGUCGUGGCCUUUCCUGGCAGGCUCCGUGGGCGACAAUAAAGAUGUUUUGGAGAGACUGCAGUCCCGAGAAGAACUCGUGCGUAGUUGGCACGGAUGAAGUACUCCGCCCGCUGCACGUGCGCGGCGGCCUGCCAGCCCGGGACACACUCCCACGCCCUAAGCCCGCGUCCCCGAGGCUAGCCGAGCCUGGCUGGCUUUAAGUGCUUCCACUUUCAGUCACUCUGCGAUGUCCUCCUGCCCUGCAGCGCCCUCGGAUCUUUUGUUUCACCUCGGAGGUGUCUUUACAGGCUUUUCGUCAGGCGCUGGCUUUUUCACCCCCUGCUCCACGCUCUAGCUUUUCCUAGUUGUCCUCUUGCAAUCCACGCUGUCGCCUGGCCACCCCAACCCAGGCUGUUCCCUCCCUACCUCCAGCCCAGCAGCGUCCCCUGCCCUCCUCUCUGAUCCUGUCGCUUCCCUGGCAUCUUCAUCCUGUGCUACUUGGCUGUUCAGUGCCCGUCACGUCACACCGAAGUUUGGGAUGAUGUCUCGUUAAGCUCUUCACAGAGCCGAGCACCAGCAAGGGACUGGGUAAAUAACCGCUUAGGAAUGCAAUGAAUGGCAGCCUUGUCUCUCCCAGUGUCAGUGAGCUAUCUUCAUAGGUUUGGAAAUGUGGUGUUCCUGUGUGCAAGUAUUUCGCAGUGAUUUAGAGGUGUUAAAAUACUUUGUUCUGAUGAAACAAGACUUUCUGAGGGACCUUUCUCUUGUAAUGACGACGAAUGAAGCUGGUGAUUAAGAAAACCUAAAAACCUGUUGAAACUGUUGUGUGACAGAAUCAAGUCAAAGGCACUGUUAACCAUCCUGCAGAGAUAAAGUUUAGCUUUCCUGUGUACACUCGGGGUCCAGAAUUCACCCUAGAGAAUUUUAUCAGUAAGAGCAAUUCCCGGUGAAGAUGUGAUAUUCUUUUGUAUGUAUUUUAUUUUGUUUUUAAUGCAGAGUCUCACUGUGCAGACCGAUCCUCAAACUCCACAUCUCCUACUUCAAAUUUAUUGCUCUACCUUUUGUGUUCGCAACAUUUAAAAUUCACUCUGUAGCCAUCGUGCUGGGUAACAGAGCACGAGAAAAGGCUCCUCCUGCCUAACUGCCCUUUGACCACCUCCCGCCCCCAUCCACCUCCCCCUCCACACACACAAUACUUACCUAACAGAAACGAAGGUGCAUUGUAAUAUAGGCUGUUUCUUGUUCCCCAAGAGAGAGACCCUGCCUAUUUCUAUAUAUGGUGUUCUCCUCUUUACUGUGUUUGCAUGAUAAGAAUGUGUUUUGUUUCCUUUUUUUUUUUUUAAAUUUAUCAGAGAGGGUAAAUAUAAAACAGAUGGAUAAUGUCGAUGGCAUACCUGUUAAUACUUUAGACUCAUUUAUAAUCAUAAACAAGUGAGGGCUAGGGAGGUGGCUCAUUAAGUGCUUACCACACAAGCAUGAGGACCUGAGGUUGACUCCCCAGAACCCACAGAAAGUUGGGCACCAUAGCAGGCAUCCGUAAUUCCAGGGCUUUCACGGAGAGACAACAGGAGAGACCUCUGAAGCUAGCCUGCUGUCAGAGACAACAGACCCUACCUGUAGAGUGUAGAAGGCAAGAAUUGAUACCCAAGGUUGUCCUCUGACCCCACUUGUGCACUGUGGGACACACACUUUCACGAGUACACCACAACAGAGAAGUACCCCAUGAACAAACAUGUACAUACAGAGAGCAUUUUAGUUUAUUUUUUAUGUAUAUGGGUAUUUUGCUUACAUGUAUGUCUGCACCACAUUCUUGCAGUGCCCAUGGAGGCCAGAAGAGGAAGACAAGGUGUCUGGGGCUGGACUUCCAGGUGGAGUUAUGAACCAGGUUGUUGUUGCUGAUACUCAAACCUAGCUCAUCUGGAAGAGAAAUGCUAAUAACUGACCUGAACUAUCUCUCCAGUCUCCCUCCCCCUCCCCCCCAAAAGAGAUUUGCUAAGAUCUACAAAUGGUGCACAUAAAAAUACCUUCAUUGAAAUUCUCAAUUGUGUUGCAGUUUCUCGGGCAACCAUCCUUUCACAGUGUGAUAGAAACCCAUAGCAUUGAAAAACCAAAAACAAACAAACAAACCCAUAGCAGCAGCUUUGAAAAUGAAAGGUGAUCGGUCAAUGUAUACAUUUUUAUGGGUUCAUCAGAAAUAAUUGCUAUAAUCUGUCUUUUAUGAAUGUAACACAAAACAAAAUUCACAUUAAGAGAAGAAGAAAAAAGAAAUCAUGGAAUAAAGACCUUGGGUUACUUAACCCCUUGGCAGUUUUAAACAAAUAACCCCGUGUUUUAUCUUCGAUUUUUAUAUAACAGGAGGUUUUCAAUUUAAUCUGUAUAGUGUGUUUAUGUCAAUAAAAAUUUACAAAU